rnacentral:rRNA from 1 species
GACGAACGCUGGCGGCGUGCUUAACACAUGCAAGUCGAACGGGUCUGCCCUGUUUUUUGCGGGGUGGGUCAGUGGCGAACGGGUGAGUAACACGUGAGUAACCUGCCCCUCACUUCUGGAUAACCGCUUGAAAGGGUGGCUAAUACGGGGUGUUCUGGCUGUGCCGCAUGGUGUGGCUGGGAAAGAUUCACUUUUGUGGUGUUUUGGUGGGGGAUGGGCUCGCGGCCUAUCAGCUUGUUGGUGGGGUGAUGGCCUGCCAAGGCUUUGACGGGUAGCCGGCCUGAGAGGGUGGGCGGUCACACUGGGACUGAGAUACGGCCCAGACUCCUGCGGGAGGCAGCAGUGGGGGGUAUUGGACAAUGGGCGGAAGCCUGAUGCAGCGACGUCGCGUGAGGGAUGGAGGCCUUCGGGUUGUGAACCUCUUUCGCCGGUGAAGAAGGUCCUGCUCUUUGUGGUGGGGUUGACGGUAGCCGGGUUAUGAAGCGCCGGCUAACUACGUG